UAUAUAGAUAAUCUAUUAUCUAUAUAGAGAUUAUAUAUAUUUAUAUAUUAUAUAAUAUAUAUUUGGAUGUAUAAAAAUUUAUAUAGAUAAUAUAUACAUUUUUAUAUAUAAUAUAUAUAUAUUCCGAUUUUUAUUUUUAUAUAAAAAUCUGAAUCUGAAUGAUGGCCAUGAAUGAAAAUGAGCUGAUUGACUGAGAGCAGCAACUUGCUCUAUACCCAGCUCUAUUCCUAAUCGGCUUCUCCAUGAUGAACUCAUAGGACUUGUGGCAUGAUAUCUGACUGUGGACUAAUGCUGGAACUGCCAGCUCCCUGUGGCUGCUCAGGUUGUGAGAAUUGGAAUAAAAAUAAAUUCUGAAAUGGUAGAAUUCCCAUUGAACAGAAAUUAUAGUUUUAGCCAUCUCUAAGAACAUCRUUUUUUCCAACUAAUCAGGUGAGUUGUCAUAUCUUCAAGCUGAGCUUGAAGUUAGAGUAAAUAGCAUCUCUAGUAAUUAUCCAAAAAAACUUUGAACAGUCCAGUAUGCUGCAAAAAAGGUAGAUUCUCAAAUUACAAGAUAUGUACUAGAAAUGUAAUUAGAUGUGAUUUUCAAGGAGAAAAGAAGACUAAAUUGCAACAGAGCUAGAAUCCAUAAAAUACACUAAGAGAUUGCAAAAAUAACAUUAUGCAUUUGGUACAGGUCUUUGCACUAUUUCCACAGAAUCUGUAAUACUUACUUUUAUUAACCUACUAGCAAUAACCAGAUAUUUUUAUAUUAUAUUUCAGCCUCUUUUUUUUCUUAAAUUAUGUGCUCAUAAACCCUUAGAAACUACAUUCACUAUGUUUGCUUAGUUAUAACUCUUAUAUAAUUCAAACCUAGAGGAAACAGCAUGUCGCAUGAAUUGCUGGAUUCCCAGGGAGGUAGAAAACUGAUCCUUAAUUUUACAUGAGAGUGAUCUUUAACCUACGUAAUUAAGGUAAGUUAAUGUUUGAUUAACAUCUGUUGUUUACUCAAGUUUUGAAAUGUACUACAACUAUCUAAAUAUAUUUCUGUGAAAUUUCUGUGAAGUAAAAAGUUAUUUUACUUUUUUAGCAUCUAUAUUUAGUUUUCUUUUGUUGAUUGUUUAUGUAUUAUGAAUUCAAAUAUCUGAUUUUUCUUUUCAGAGCUAGAUUA
rnacentral:lncRNA from 1 species